AGUCCUGAAUAAGUAUGAACCAAAAUAUAGAUUCAUAUAUAUAAGAUUCUAUGGUAGUCUCAGGUCAAAGGAUUACAAGCACAACUUCCACUAUAAGAAAAUAUCUUUUGAUGGAUAAGUAGAUUUCAUAAGAUGUUUCUUAAGUCAGAUCAAUUCAGUGAACUUAUUCUUUAAUGAGCACCCAUAUUCUUGUAUUAGUGUCUUACACAAGUGGCUUAUGAGAUUAGCCACCCUCUCCAUCGAGCAUACAUAGGAAGUGCCAAUCUGUCCGAAACAUUGAUCCCCUACUCAAUACUCAUAUGAUUAUGAAUAUUCUAAAUCAAGAUUUUUAAAAUUUUAGGUCUCAUAGGUGUGAUCUCAUCAUAACCCUAAAACUAUUAUUCUGAUUUAUGGAGUUCAUCAUAAUCAUUACAAAAGUAAGAUACAGUAUAUAAUAAAAAAUAUCUUUUAUUUAUAAAGUAUCAAUUACAUAAGUC
rnacentral:lncRNA from 1 species